GAUAAAAGAAUAAUAUAUCGUAAAUCUCAAAUGAUAAAACCCUGAAUAAAAAUAUACAUUAAAAAAACCACCAAACUUUUCAUAUCUCUUCAGCCAGACACCUGAAGUAAUAAAAUGUAUUCCAAUUCACAUUUUCUUUCCAGGUGUAGGCUUCUUAUUUUAGAAUAUUUCAUUCUAUUCUGAUAAACCCUUAAAGAAAGAAAAUUCACCUAAAACCAACAUUCAGACCAAGAAGAUGAGAAUAGGUGAAUAUUAAAAGUUGUACUGAAACAAAAAUUUUAAGGUCUAAAUGACUGUUUGAAGCCACUCUUUGUAAUAAAGGCUCAUUGCAUUUCCAGGUUAACGAAUAAAACACAUUACAAAGAACCAUGACAGGGAUCUAAAUACUUAGUACACAAAUUACAGUGCUGCAUUUAUCCUUUUCUCAUUAAGAACAAAAGAACACUUCAUGUAAGAAUAAAUGUCUGUGACUAUUUAAAAUAAAAGGGAAAGCGCAAAAAUAUAAAAUAUGCCAAGAAUAAAGGUGGUUCUUUUUCUAUUAACUGCACAAAUCAGUUGCUCAAAUCGAGACACCAAGGUGACACCAUAAAAGGUGUUUUAAUUACGACUCUACAUUUUAUAAUUUUAAAAUAUUUUACAAUUAACCAACGAAUACGAGUUUAUAAUUCAGCUUUGGUGUCCUAACUUGCUUAGACUCUAAAGUAUUCACUUUUUCAUAGCACCUUCCACAAAGACAGCCUGGAGGGAUCCCAGACUAAAGAUGUACGUGCUUGUGCGUGCAUGUAUCGUGGCAACAGUCAGCAAUAACUCCAGGAAAAGGUGCCUUUUGGUUUUCCCCAGCACCUGCCAACCGCAGCAACCGCGGUCCCCAGAGAAAAUCCAGUGAAAAAGGACACUCAGAAAAGUUUUUCGCCAAAUUUUUUGUAUUAGACGAAUAAUGGAAGAGAAAAUAAAUAAAGGGGGUGGGGAUGUUAGCUUCCUAGAGUGAGCAGUCACUACGUAGUCUCUCACUACUUCCUCCGUCUCUCUCACAUCCUCCCCUCUUCAAGAGGAGGAAUUGGAGAGGAAGGAGUCAAAUCCUUAAUAAGGAUGAGAGGCGGGGGAACAGAGAAUCUGCUUCACACUGAGGCAGGCGCACACGGGCUGUCCUAGCAGGGGCUACGGCGGCCGACGAGUCCAACGAACAGACAUCCGCUUCCGCACGCACUUCACUGGCCGGAAUGCUCGGCACUCUCGCGAGGAAGGGCCAAGUCCUAUAUUGGAAGAACAGUCAAAGCCAUGGGGAAUGAUUUUAGACAAGGGCUUUCUAAGCCUAAUUGUGCUAUAAAUUAUGCUUACGUCACUCAGAUUUUCACUACUGCUCAAAAAACCAUCUCAUUGGUAUUUGGCUUCACCUUGAAAAAUGAAAAGUCAGGGGAAACAUGGUAGGUUGAAAGUCCCUUCUGAUGUUUAAAAAAAAAAAA